CUUGGAAAGACGCAUCGCUUAUAUGCGUGUGGCAUUUGAUCACCAGCAGCAGGACUUAGUUGAUGCAGCAUCAAAGGCUUUAGCAUAUAGACAAGAUAUUAUCGAGGAAAACAUCCGCCUGACAUAUGCAUUGCAGACUGCACAUCAAGAGAGGUCAAUGUUCAUAUUCUCUUUGCUGCCUAUUAUGUCUGAAUAU